CCCAGACCAUCUCUAGGUCCAGGCUUAGUUCUCCCACGGGUGUGUGGUGACUGGAAGGGUUUCUGUUAUAGGGCUAGUAAAAGACUGGUCACAGUUUUAGAAGAAACCAAAGAGUGUGAUCUACAGUGCGUGCUGCGGACCCCAGAGUUCAAGGUUAGACCAGGAGCAGACGCUGACCUCACACUUCUGAUAGACAAAUGAAGAAGUCAGCACCUCAACCCGAGCUCAAAACAAGAUGCCAGAAGAAAAGAUCAAAGAGCUUAAUGCGGAAUUCCAGAAAAAUCAAAUGCAGGAACACUGGCGGUCAAGUUACUUAUAGAUUUCAGGACCUCUUCUACUAUCUCUAUAGGCAGAUAGAGAGCCAUGCCCACCGUCGUUUCUACCAGUGCCACUUCUA